UUUUCGUAGGUGAACCUGCGAAAGGAUCAUUAUCGGCACAUCCCAGCGAGAGAGAACGCCGCAUUCGUGCGGAGGCGUCGCAGAGAACGACGCCGCGGUCUCGGAAGCAUGCGUGGUGGACGGCUCGGUUCCCGCGUCGAUGAAGGACGUAGCGAGAUACGAAAGGUGUUGCGAAUUGCAAGAUUUCGCGAGUCAAUGACCAUCCGAAUGCAUCGCCGCCCUCCCCUCGCCUCCGGGCGGAGGGAGGACGCGUCGGCGACAUCGCCCCGCGCCAGCGCUCUCCCCACGACGGCGGAGAGGCGACGGUGGACGAGGCACCCGACCGACAGACGUCGUCGGCGUGUCCGUGCCAGCGCGACUGUCGACGCCGCUCGGUCCAAGCGCCGAACGCGGCGGACGACGCCCGUGCAGUCGGAACGAACGCUGCGAUGUCGUCGGCGAGGAAACCCGCUGAACUUAAGCAUAUCAUUAAGCGG
rnacentral:rRNA from 1 species